AUGAAUCUUCCUGAUUCCAAGCAUAAUCCACUGAGCCACCUAGCUGCCACAAUAAUAAUAGUUUUCAAAAGACACCCAUCUUGUCUUGAUUCUUUUUGGCAGAGGAGGGAGAUGACAGACUGCUGGUCAAGCAAAACUCCAUGCAGGGAGAGGGUGGUAUUUGAACUGGACCCUAAAAGGAUGGUGGAUAUCCUCUUCCAUCAUGAGUCCCUUGGAGAUGUCCUGGAUCCUUGUCUUGUUGAUAAUAUUCUUCCUCUGGUUGUGGAUAGCAUCUUUCUCAUAAGUCUCAGAAUUGUCCUGUUUCACUGCAUUGCUGCUAGUAGAGAAGUCCAUUACAUUUGA
rnacentral:lncRNA from 1 species